GCCUGGGUGGCUCACAGUUAAGCAUCUGACUUCAGCUCAGGUCAUGAUCUCAUGGUUUGUGGGUUCAAGUCCCACAUCGGGCU
rnacentral:tRNA from 1 species